AUAAGAGCGUUGAUAGUUGUGAGUAUACAAUGCCCUCUGGUAGUAUCGGUGCAUCACAACGCCUCUGGCUUACUAUCAGUUUUAUUUUGAAGGUUAUAACCGGAAGUGGCACUAUGCUAUGGUGUCGCACUUGAUAUUACUCGCUGUGGCCACUAGAGGACAAGAAAAACAAUGAUUCCUAGUUUGUCAAGCUAGUAACAUGGACUGACUAUUUGAACUGUAGAAGGGAUUUAGUGGAUGCACAACUGUCCGCGAAAGCUACUUUCUUCGUCAAAGAGAAAAACGAUGCAAGAAGAUGAGGCUUACAUUUCAAUUGUUAUCUGGAAAUGGCCAAGAAAGUGCUCUUCUUGUAAAAGACAAGUUAAGUAAAGACAUUAUGUCACCAUCUCUGUUCCAGGAAACACAGUCGCCAGUUGAGAAAAGGGUUGAAAAUCUUUUUUGGAGCCCUUGUCCAAUAAGGUUGGAGGGUUGGGUAUAAGUGGGGUGUUUGCCACAAAUUGCGGACAGCCCCUCUCUCAAUUUGGUUUGAUAACAGAGUGUACAUUAUUAAUACCGAUGUUGCCUCAAAUGCAACUAGUAAUACUCUAAUUAAUACGUCUAAAAAUAAUAAUAACCAGUGUUCAUUACUCUUUAAUCAUACUAUUAUUGUAUUGUAUUAGUGUUAUUUGUAAUAAUCAUAAUAAUAAUGAGUUAAACAGCUCUUUCAUCUCUGUGACGUUUUUAACUUGGUCAGAUAUUUUACCCACCGUUUACUUAAUAUUAUUCUAAUGUUGAUGUUGAGCUUACACUUCAGGAAAUGGAUGAAAAUCUUUUUUAAAAGGCAUGACAUUUUACUGUAAGACCAUGUUGCAUAAAAUUCAUACACACAUACAUGAUCUUCUAUUGUCAAAUCUGUUCACAAGAUAUUGAAGUGUAACAGGCAGACUACCACGAAGUGCGCUGAGGUUUGCACCUAUAUGGAACAAUCCCUUUUAACGUUCUUUGCUUCAGUGUGUAUGUUGUAUUAUUGUUAGUUAUGUCCGACUAUUUCAUAUCGUGGGUGUAAUAACAAUUUCAGCCUUCAGGUGCUAUGGGGACUUCAGACUUUUACAUUUGUUUACUGAUCCACAAACACAAACAGUGUAUUGAUUAAGGCCUGCUGUGUAGUAUGGAGAUAAUAAAUACAGUGAAUGCUCCUUCACAUUUCAGACAUUUGAAUGAAGGCUUUGGGGGGAAAGCUUUAAUGCUAAAAUGUCCUCAAUAACUAGAACAUGUAGGCCACCAUUGUUAGCCAGUCUCUUUAAUGUGGAAAUGCAAAUCAUCACAGCAUAGGAAAGAUUAAUUAAAAAUGUCUCCUCACAUUAUCAAUUCAUAAAAGCUUUGUUGUUUAAAAAAAAACCCCUAAAUAUCUUGAAUCUCAACAUGAAGAAAU